CCUAGAAGCAUCAAUAAAUCCUAUCUGUGACUUGUUUUGCACUGAUUCCUUAAAAUAACUGAAAAAUGAUUUGUGAAAGGAAGUUCAGGAAGUUUGCCAUUGUUGAUUCCUGCAUGGAAGCAAGUUUGUUUGCUGGCAAUGAAGAUUACAUAGGAAUGGAGAUGAUGAGAGUGAAGACCAUAAGGAAGGCAAAUGGACACAAGAGAUCUGGCAUUGAAAACAAGGAUAUUUCAAAGAUCAGGGACUCUGAAUAAGAAGAAAUGUAAAUUUUAUAUUUCAAGGAUCUGCUAUCCUGGAGAUGAUAACAAUUAUCUAAAUUGAUCUCCCAGACAUAUAUAUUCAGAAGUAUAAAGCAUUUGGUUUCAUUUUGAA